rnacentral:misc_RNA from 1 species
GCAUAUUUCUCUUCCUUCAGCUCCCUCCGGAUCUUGUUCCCCUUGCCGACCUGGUACAUGCCCCAUGAGAAAGCGCCGAAGGUGGCGAGGAAUAAUGCAAUGGCGCUGGGGCCCUUGGUCGGGAUCCGGCGAGCGUAGCGCACCGGCGCGAAUCCCCCCGGCGGCGGCCCGUCCUGCAUGACCGGCAUAUCCUUCACGCUCACCAUCCCCGGCUUCUUCCUCAGCAUCGCCUCCGUCAUCGUUACGGCCCGGCGUGAUCGGAUCGAUCCACG